AGUGAACGCUGGCGGUAGGCCUAACAAAUGCAAGUCGAACGGCAGCACAGUAAGAGCUUGCUCUUACGGGUGGCGAGUGGCGGACGGGUGAGGAAUACAUCGGAAUCUACUUUUUCGUGGGGGAUAACGUAGGGAAACUUACGCUAAUACCGCAUACGACCUACGGGUGAAAGCAGGGGAUCUUCGGACCUUGCGCGAUUGAAUGAGCCGAUGUCGGAUUAGCUAGUUGGCGGGGUAAAGGCCCACCAAGGCGACGAUCCGUAGCUGGUCUGAGAGGAUGCACAGCCACACUGGAACUGAGACACGGUCCAGACUCCUACGGGAGACAGCAGUGGGGAAUAUUGGACAAUGGGCGCAAGCCUGAUCCAGCCAUACCGCGUGGGUGAAGAAGGCCUUCGGGUUGUAAAGCCCUUUUGUUGGGAAAGAAAAGCAGCAGGUUAAUACCCCGCUGUUCUGACGGUACCCAAAGAAUAAGCACCGGCUAACUUCGUG
rnacentral:rRNA from 1 species